rnacentral:rRNA from 1 species
GAUGAACGCUGGCGGCGUGCUUAAUACAUGCAAGUCGAGCGGAAAGGUCUCUUCGGAGAUACUCGAGCGGCGGACGGGUGAGUAACGCGUAAGAAUGUACCCCACAGUGAGGAAUAAGCACCAGAAAUGGUGUCUAAUGCCGCAUGAGCUCUUCGGAGUAAAGCUUUAUGCGCUUUGGGAACAGCUUGCGUCUGAUUAGCUAGUUGGUAAGGUAACGGCUUACCAAGGCGACGAUCAGUAGCUGGUCUGAGAGGAUGACCAGCCACACUGGGACUGAGACACGGCCCAGACUCCUACGGGAGGCAGCAGUAGGGAAUUUUCCACAAUGGGCGAGAGCCUGAUGGAGCAACGCCGCGUGAUGGAUGAAGGCCUUCGGGUUGUAAACAUCUUUUGUCUGUGACGAAUAUGACGGUAGCAGACGAAUAAGGAUCGGCUAACUACGUGCCGGCAGCCGCGGUAA